UCAAGGUAGAAUUGACAAAACAUUGGCAACAGAAUAUAUGGUGAAGGAGAGUGAGAGUUAAGUGCUCUGAGACUGGCACUCAAAUGACUGAAAGAAUAGUGCUUGCUACACUCACUCAUUUUCCAAACUUUAUUGGUUUGGUCGAGUUUGGGGAGGAAUAAUGAGUUCUGUUUUGGAUAUUUUGAAUUUGAGAUACCUGCAGGAUAUCUUGCUCCCAGGGAAACCAGGGUUAGAUAUAUAGAUUUAGGAAUUCUUGCAAUAGGAAUGAUAAUUGGACCCAUAGCAAUGGAUGAAAUCGCUGAAAGAGUAUCUAGGAAAAAAAGCCCAGAUAUGCCUUAGACAUUUGAGGUAAGAGGGUUAAUUAUACUUCUAGAAAGGAGGCCAUGGAAUGGUCAGACAGGUGGGAGAACAACUAAGGUAAAACAAUGUCAUGAAAAACCAAAAGGAAAAAAAAACUAUUAAGAAAGAGAGGAGGAACAAUACAAAAUUCUGCACAGAGGUCACAAAGUAUGAAGACUGAGAAAAAGUUACCAGAUUUGGAGAUUGAAAUCACUGCUAACUUUGAAGAGGGCUUCUUCAGUUAAGUGAUCCUUUAUGAAAUCUUCCAAGAAAGCCUUGUGAAAUGGGGACCAGUUCAUAUCUCACUUUGGGGCUUUAUCUGAAGUUGAUUUGCCUCUGAGAAGCUCAGGAUUUGAGGUCUGUUAGAGGAGAAAUUCCUGAGAAGAUCCAUGUCAUAUCCUGAUGGAAUCCUUUGUGACAAAGAAAAAUAAUCAGACCCAAUGAUCACAUCCACCGACAGAGAGAACUUCCUCCCUGCAAAAUCCCCGCUUUGCCAGGAGGGAGCGUGUUCAUAGAAUUUAGAACUGAAAGGAACCUUUGGAGUCCUUUUGGAGAUAUUGAAACUGAGACCCGGAAAGUCACAGAAGAGUAAAAAUGGUCAGAGUCAGGAUUUGAAAUCAGCAAACUUCUAAAUCUGGUUACAUGGGACACAUGUGAUCUUCAAGAAUGGCGUUUAUUAUGAUGGAAGAUACAAAGCAUGAAGGUGACCAGAAUGCGUUUCGAGUCAUCAGCAUCCAGG